rnacentral:lncRNA from 1 species
UUUCUUUGUAAAGUUCAGGAUUUAUACUUACUGAAACAAAGAGCACUUUGAAUCACAACAUGAAGUGUGCGUUUUUGAAAAGUUAUAAAGGCAUCUUUUUUUUUUGUUUAAUUUUUGUUUUUGUCUAAGGAAACUUACUGGAACAUUCAUUUCUGAUUGAGAGGAAGCUUGCUCUAUAUGGACAAUAAAGAUGUUAAGAUCAGGAUGAAUGUCCAUGGGAGAUAAUAGCAAAUAAAAAAAAUGCACCAGUCCACUACUCAUGUUUUCCAGGAACUGCAAGAACUCAGCCUGGUUGUGUUGUAAAUCUGAGCACCAUUGUUCCUGACUGGGGUCGAGUCUGUCAGAGAGACUUCUUUGUUCCUUUGAGCAGCUUCCAUCUGAAGCAUGUGGAGUUUUUUCAUAUUUUAAGCAGAAUUUUUGAGAUGCAUGUGUACUGACAUGCUUUGCUUUCCGCUCUUCCAGAUUUAGCAUCUUUUCUGCUAUUUCCUGUUGAACAGCAGAGCGCGUUGACACCGGCAGAAGUAAUCUGACCUGCAGUGAGCUGUGUGUGGGACAGCCUACAGUUACCAAUAGUACGUGAUGUGGGCCAUUAAUACAUAGCUGCUCUUAUGCCAGGGAACAUGCCUUGUGAGGCAGCACCAGUGUGAGUUUGACCUCAGGCAUCCCAAUAGCGUGGUGUGUGUGCUGUGGCCGUGCUGCCUGACACCAUUUGUCCCCUGAGAGAUGCAAGGAUUUGCUAAACUGAAGCUAAAGAUGGAAGAGUUCCAAACCUAUGAGGAGUCUGGACCCUCUCAAACUAUGACUGGGGCCAAGGAAACAACAUACCAGACAUCGAAACUUGGGAUGCUUUUUUUAUUUAGUAACAGAAACUCAAGUUCAUCUUUCUCUGCUUCCACAAAAUACAAGGAAAUACAUUUGAUUAAAUUAUGUGAGAUGCUUUUUAAGGCAGAUGGAUUCAACACAUGGCUGCAGGACCAGGCUUUAUUAUCUCGACUAACGUGGACACAUUUUGAACACUGCUUCUCACUCUGCCAUCAGCCGCCACCACCUCUGCAGUACUGUGACAGCAAGAGAAAAAGGACAGGAAAGUGA